UUGAGGAGAAUAAAUGAUUGG
rnacentral:siRNA from 1 species